AUUGAACGCUGGCGGCAUGCCUUACACAUGCAAGUCGAACGGCAGCACGGGUGCUUGCACCUGGUGGCGAGUGGCGAACGGGUGAGUAAUACAUCGGAACAUGUCCUGUAGUGGGGGAUAGCCCGGCGAAAGCCGGAUUAAUACCGCAUACGAUCUACGGAUGAAAGCGGGGGACCUUCGGGCCUCGCGCUAUAGGGUUGGCCGAUGGCUGAUUAGCUAGUUGGUGGGGUAAAGGCCUACCAAGGCGACGAUCAGUAGCUGGUCUGAGAGGACGACCAGCCACACUGGGACUGAGACACGGCCCAGACUCCUACGGGAGGAAGCAGUGGGGAAUUUUGGGCAAUGGGCGAAAGCCUGAUCCAGCAAUGCCGCGUGUGUGAAGAAGGCCUUCGGGUUGUAAAGCACUUUUGUCCGGAAAGAAAACCUUGGCUCUAAUACAGUCGGGGGAUGACGGUACCGGAAGAAUAAGCACCGGCUAACUACGUG
rnacentral:rRNA from 1 species